rnacentral:rRNA from 1 species
GGCGUGCGAAUAUUUGGACAAUGGGCGCAAGCCUGAUCCAGCCAUGCCGCGUGAGUGAUGAAGGCCCUAGGGUUGUAAAGCUCUUUCAACGGUGAAGAUAAUGACGGUAACCGUAGAAGAAGCCCCGGCUAACUUCGUGCCAGCAGCCGCGGUAAUUAAAA